AAAGUUCUGCAUACUUAAAGUGAUUCAGAUUCAGCUACCGUGACGAUUGCUUGGGAAGCAUUGUUUAGUGCGAUAAGUUCAGUUCCUAAAGGAGUUCUUCCUUCGUAUAUAAAGUUGGUUCAGAUCAGUAUCAAUGUUUUUCCCAUGAGCUUGAAAGUGUAUUCUGUUCAUUUGGUUCUAUGUGCAUUAACCAGUUUUUAACUGUGAUUUAGGAUGCGGAGAGUAGCAUAUUCCAUGAAGUUGAUUGGCAUCGAAUUGAACUGGAUGAAGCACUCACCAUAAAAUCCUGGAGAACUGUGAGUGCUAGGGCUGCAUUCACAUUGUCUGCACAUUGCAGGUGGUGUCUCACUGGUAUGGACUUCAGAAUAAUUUGCAAGAUCUUUACAGCCUUCUGUGUUUCUUGCAUGUUGAGCCAUGGUGCAAUUGGGCAUGGUGGAAUAAGUUAAUACAGAGACCUUAUGAGAAUGGUGAUCAGAGAGCAUUGAAACUGAUCAAGGCAAUUCUUAGGCCACUAAUGCUUAUGAGAACAAAGGAAACAAAGGACAAGGAAGGGAGCUCAAUUAGUCCAAUUCUUGUCCUGCCACCAACUGACAUCCAAGUCAUUGAGUGUGAACAGUCGGAAGCAGAGCGUGAUUUCUAUGAUGCCCUCUACAAGAAAUCUAAAGUAAGAUUUGCAGCCCCAGCAAGUUUGUUUGGUUUCCCAUUUUCUCAUGCUCUUUAAAUACCCUCCAAGAAAGCUCUGAUUUGUGUGUGUGUUAGAAGUAAUAGCAUUUUCAAGGGUUCUUUCAGAUUAUUCAGACAUGUGGUUCGAAAUCUGAUAUGCAUUUUUGGGACUGGGAACUGACAGUUUGUUGUCGAUGAACCAUGUAGCACAAGGCAAAGUUCUUCACAACUUUGCAAACAUUCUCCAUCCUUUUCUUGUGAUGAGGUGAAAUGCCAUUAGAGCUUUACUGUGCAUGUCUCUAUAAUGAAA